GCAUGUCUCCAUCCAGGGAGGUUCCCUGAGGGUCUCCCAGCAGAGGAUGGUUCUGCUGAAAGCCCCAGGUCUGUGGACUGCGAUACAGACAGACAAAACUACCUACAAGCCUGGGCAAACUGUGAAGUUUCGAAUUCUCCAUUUGGAGGAGGACUUCAGUCCCAGUGACAGAAAGCUUCCCUUGGUGACCGUGACUGAUUUCGGAGGGAGAACCAUCGCGUCAUGGCAGGAUGUGAGCCUGCAGCAGGGCAUUGUGGACCUGUCCCUCCCGCUGGCCCACUCAUCCCUUGGCAGGUUACAUCAUCACGGUGGAACAGA
rnacentral:lncRNA from 1 species